UACGUAGGGUGCAAGCGUUAAUCGGAAUUACUGGGCGUAAAGCGUGCGCAGGCGGUUAUGUAAGACAGGUGUGAAAUCCCCGGGCUUAACCUGGGGAACUGCAUUUGUGACUGCAUAGCUAGAGUACGGUAGAGGGGGAUGGAAUUCCGCGUGUAGCAGUGAAAUGCGUAGAUAUGCGGAGGAACACCGAUGGCGAAGGCAAUCCCCUGGACCGGCAUUGACGCUGAGUGAGCGAAAGCCAGGGGAGCAAACGGG
rnacentral:rRNA from 1 species